CCGGAAUUUCCAUUUUCGAAAUGAAAAAAAAAAAAAAAACAUCCACAUUUAUCCAAAUUCACGAUAGCCAAAUUAAUAAUGAGAGACCCAUGACAAUCCUCAUAAUUGUUCCUGUUAGACUUUUGAUAGCAGGCCAAGAGAGAGACAGAGCUGCAUUUCCAUAAGUUAAGGAGAAUACAAUAAAAAAUUAUUAAACUUAUGAAAUGACAAACAUGCACCCACGUAUGUAUCCAAUAGGCAAAUUUAUAUCCAUGCUAGAGUUUUAUUCAGAAUAAACUCUUAGGCACUAUGCUAGAGCCUAAGCCACGUAAAAGGCUCUUACGCAUGACAAAACAAAAUAAUUAAAUGCAAGGACUAAAGAUGACCCACAACCGAGAGGAUAAAAUUUGGCCAUCAAGUACCAAUCACUUAACUAUCAUCUUUGUCGUCCUAAGCAUCCUAUCAAACAAUAAUUUACCGAGAGGGCAAAUUCAUUAUCCGCAUGGAUCUUAAUAUAAUGUCAAUAAGUGGAAGCAUAAACAAUGUAACAAUCUCGAUAAUUUAUCAUAACUAGUCCCACGAGAGCUAAGUACAUAGUCACUCCAAACCAUCGGUAUACAACAAAAUUAUGUGAUCUAUAUGGAUAAAAUAUUUAUUCUUCUUAAAAUAGAUUAUCCAUUUCUUUUCUCCAAUUAACUAACAUGGAACAAUAUUACAAAAAUUCAUAAAUGGGCAUUUUUCAAAAACAUUUGAAUAUUAUAAUAAUAGAUCUAUUAUUAAAACUCCCACGAGUACUGCCUUCUGCCAUUUUGUAUCUUUGAAAAGCAUUUUAAUAUUAUAAUAAUAGAUCAAUUAUUAUAAGUCUUCUUUAAGUCAAAGAAAUUACGAAAAGCAUUUUAAUAUUAUAAAAAUAGACCGAACUCCUAGAUUUGCAUUCUAUAUCUUUGGAAAACAUUAGAAUAUUGUAAUACUAAAUCAAUAAGACUCCCAGAUUCCAGAUUCGUUGCCUUCAACUAUUCUUUAUAUUUGAAAAACAUUAGAGUAUUAUAAUUAAUAGAUCAAUAAAACUCUCAGAUUUGCUGUGCAUUACCCACUGUCCGGCCAUUUUGAAUAUAAUAAUAAUAGAUCUAUAAAACUCCCAUAUG
rnacentral:lncRNA from 1 species